GGGUUAGUAGGUUGGUCGUGCCUAUGGUAUGCACUGGCUUUGCUGAUUCCUCCUUCUUGAAGAACUGUAAUGCCAUUAAUUUGGUGUUGCAGGGAAACAGGACUGUUACUUUGAAAAAAUUAGAGUGUUUAAAGCAGGCUAACGCUUGAAUAUAUUAGCAUGGAAUAACGAAAUAGGACGUUUGAUCCUAUUUUGUUGGUUUCCAGGAUUGACGUAAUGAUUAAUAGGGAUAGUUGGGC
rnacentral:rRNA from 1 species